AGUUUCGACCCCAUUUGGUUACCGAAAACUGUACCGAACUGUAAUCUUUAUCAGAUAGCUGUCGGAUUUUAUUUCUCACUCUACAGGUGUCAGAAAAAUAUAAAACUUUAAAUCUAGUCUCAUAAAAAUAUUUCUGACAUCUCCGUCAAUUUUCAUAAUUUUCUGACACUAUGCAUUUUCUGCUAAUUUAUCUGCCCCAUUUUUUACAGAAAAUUCUAAAUCUUCUGUUUUUGCUCCGAUUUCAGCACAGGUCAUUCCCAACUUAUAUUUCAGUUCUCUAAAUCCAAUAAAAAUAGUAUCUCAUACUAUUUUUAUUUAUUUUCACUUUUAUAUUUAAAAUCCGGUAUGUGUUCCACCGCAACCUCACCGGAACCAUUUAAAUAUACACCGUAACUUCAUAGUUUUAGAGGUCUGGUACCUUACAUCCUCCCCUCCUUAAUAAGAGUUUCGUCCCCGAAACUCACUCACUUCAACCCAAUUCACACUCUAAUUCUCUUUAUUGAGUGACAAGGGGUACAGUGCACUUUUGCAUCUCGGAGUGGCCUUUCGCUCAUUGGAACUAUCCAAAGGCCCACUACGGAUGACAUGAGACUAGAUACACUCACAUUUGCCGUGUGUAAGUCCAAAAGUACAUUACGGGUCUCUGUCAUUCUUGGUGGUAGCGCAAGUUGAAACUCAACGACACUACGCGCUUCAACACCAUUCACCACUUGACAUACAAGAACUUUUCUUUGCAUUUACUUUUCCCUCAGGGUAUUACAAUUUGAUUACCAACCUUGCUUGAAGGCAAUAUCAUUGUGCAUCGCUUCAUCGUGAGUGUUCAAAUCGCAUUUGGAUCUUUGCUCUAUCAAGAGAUGGCCCACUCCGGCGCAUCUCGAUUCUGAAUCCAUAAUAGAGCAUUAUCCUCAAGUUCCUCAAUUUCUCCAACAUAACCCAGCCUUCCUGGGCAAUUUCAUAUUCGGGGACCGGUCUCUUCCUGCCUGGGGACCGGUUGCCCCGCGCUGCACAACCCUCAGCCUAGGGGCAACCGGUUCCUCCUUCCUGGGACCGGUCCCCGAGAGCAAGCUUGCGCAGACCAUGUUCGGGAACCGGUCCCUCCCGCCAGGGACCGGUCCCCGAGAGCAAAUCUGCCAAGUGCAGAUUCUUGCACCAUUUGCUCUCGCGGACUCCAUUGCAAUGCACUUUUGGUGCAUUUGACUUCUUCGGCUUUCACGAAGCACUCCCACUCGACAAUUAGUCGAUCCUGAGCGAAGUCCAACUCUCGUAUUUCGAGAAUUCACUUCCUUACUCUAACUCCUCCACAGAGUUAUUGGCUAAACCGUUUACGUCGGCUUUCACAGGCGGACCAAUGGUCGCAAACACUACGUAGGUCUAUCGCCUAACGUGUCUCAACUACGCGUAGCAUUUCCUGCUCGCAACGUAGACCCAAUCCUCAAUUUUCGGGCGAAAUUCUCACUUGGGAAUUCGCGCCCACUCCAAACAGGAGCAACCAAGACCCCAAACCACGUCAAGUCCUCGGGUUGGGUCACAACACACUAGGUGUAUCCUCGAUCUUACGAUCCACCACGUGGCAUUCCACGCACCCGGGUCUAAGCUCGGACUACCGUCCUGACCAACUCUCUGCCCUACCUAUANACUUCAAACAGUGCACGGCUAGGGGCACCUUGUCCCGCUCCAAGGUGUACAGCUCCUCGAAGAGUGUUUCCAUAGCGUCAAUCCACAUCUCCACGAUCCAUGGAUCGACAUUCUCUCCAUCGAAAACAGGCAGAUCAAACUUCUUGAAGGUCAUUAGGGCAGUCAAAGCCCGCUCUUUCUCCGCCUCCAUUUCCACAGAAUCAGAGGCCACUACCCCUGAAUCCAUCACCACUCCUGCCGGUACACGACGUGCUGCUACCGGCGCAGCCGCCGCAGUCUGUCGUGCCAACAACUCAUGGAGCUCCUUGAUCUGCUCCUCCUGUCGCACCACUACGCCCAUGAGCGUACUCAUCUGCUCGCAGAGCACCGGGUCUCCGCUCGCCUCGGAUUGCUCAGGGACGUCACUUGUCCCAUCCCGUGUCGAUCUAGACGAAGGUCGCCUACGCGGUGCCAUCGUUCCCUGAAAUACGACAACUCAAUUAAUUCUCAACCCUCUGGGUCAAGCACGAGACAAUUUAACAUUGACUCAAAUCGGGCGAAAGUCACGCAAGGGCGUCUAUUCUCAUCACUCAGUUUCAUGUUGUGUGCACCCAACAUGAACACCCUCGGUUGAGAAUAAACCACACCUCGAGUCUACCUCUAAUAUCCGUCAUAGAGGUUUCAACACAACCCAAUCAAUGAACCUUUCGCCAUAAGUCACAAGUCCUCGUCUCUCACGAGCCUUAUUCUCCUAUGGUUUACUAUCCUAGGGUCUCCUAGGUCCAUCCAAACCAUUGCCCAUUCUCUACUUUAUGCUCUGAUACCACUUUAUCUGUCACGCCCCGGGCCUCGCCAAUUUGGCCGAGUUCGGGCGCGUCGACAGACUGCCGAACGGACAGAGUUUCCCCUGUACGUCCUGAGCGUCGCAAUCAAUACAAUGAACAUUACAAGGGUUCCAACUAGGAACAGAUAUCAAUCAUGAUUGCAAAAGGAAAGUAUCACAACAUAACACAUCCUAUGUUAUUACAUGCAUUCACAAUAAUACAUUUACUUUACAUCCAACUCCCAAAUGCAAUUAAGUUAUUACAUCAUUUGCUUAUUACAAAUUGAUGCAUUGUAUUCUUUUCAUUUCCCAAACCCCAAGGCUAUGUCGACGGGGUAUUGCUAUCUCUGGUCUCUGGGUAGGACGCUAUCUAUAGAGUUACGUCCUUUCCUCGCGCCGCCGCGCCGCUCACGUGCGAACCUGAAACACCCCGAAACAACGUGGGGUGAGAACUAACUCCAUGGUUCCCAGUGGGUACGGCCACCCAAGGGAAGUGCUCAACUGAUAGGUCCAAGGAGGCAACAACAUGUUAGUUCAAUAGAUAAAUAUGAAAUCAUAAUUUAAAUGCAACUAACAUAUAUCAUGCUUUGCCUCACAAUAUGCAACAAGAAUAUUAUGCAACUAUGCAACUGUAUAAACAACUAGUAGAUGUGUUGAUUCUACGUUUACUUUGCUAACUUUAGCUCAUUUCAUUCAAUUAUAAGGUUUCUAUUACCUUAGGUUCUUGCCUCAAUCACUAGCUUAUAAGGUUUCCAUUAACCUAAUCAAGCUAACCACCCGACUCGGCCUCGAGUCAAUCAUCCGCGGAUAGUCCGCGCACUGAAUGCACAUCAGCCUGGCUGCCGUCACAGCCUACCGCAAAUCUGACUUAACCAUCUGGUGGCGAAUUCAUCGCAUCGAACCCAACAACAACUCAAGUCAUGACUUAGCCAUCUGGCGGCGAACUAAUCGCACCUCACCCAACAAUGGUUCAAGAUGUGACUUAGUCAUCUGGCAGCGACCACAUCGCUCUUACCGAGCAAGGUUCAAGUCAUUCUAGGCGGCAUCAUCUGAUAAGCUAAUGGGCGAGGAGAACCACACAUACCCAAUUCAAGCUUAUUCUCAUGGCAUCCCGGGCGAGGAGAAUCACACAUACCCGUUGAAUCACUGCCUGGCGAGGAGAACCACACAUACCUACAGUUAGGAUUCGCUUGCCAUCUCUUUUACCACAAUUUCCACCGCGCCAUGUGCGGCCACAUCACUAGGGAUUCCGGAAUCCACUUCAUAUAUCUCAUACUAUUUUUAUUUAUUUUCACUUUUGUAUUUAAAAUCCGGUAUGCGUUCCACUUCAACCUCACCGGAACCAUUUAAAUAUACACCGUAACUUCAUAGUUUUAGAGGUCCGGUACCUUACAAGACCCAACAUACCCACAGUUCUGAUUCACUUGCGCUCGGUCGC
rnacentral:lncRNA from 1 species